rnacentral:miRNA from 1 species
UAAAGGUGCUCGACUUGUU